rnacentral:rRNA from 1 species
ACUCCUGCGGGAGGCAGCAGUGGGGAAUAUUGGACAAUGGGCGCAAGCCUGAUCCAGCCAUGCCGCGUGAGUGAUGAAGGCCCUAGGGUUGUAAAGCUCUUUCACCGGUGAAGAUAAUGACGGUAACCGGAGAAGAAGCCCCGGCUAACUUCGUGCCAGCAGCCGCGGUAAUACGAAGGGGGCUAGCGUUGUUCGGAUUUACUGGGCGUAAAGCGCACGUAGGCGGACUAUUAAGUCAGGGGUGAAAUCCCGGGGCUCAACCCCGGAACUGCCUUUGAUACUGGUAGUCUUGAGUUCGAGAGAGGUGAGUGGAAUUCCGAGUGUAGAGGUGAAAUUCGUAGAUAUUCGGAGGAACACCAGUGGCGAAGGCGGCUCACUGGCUCGAUACUGACGCUGAGGUGCGAAAGCGUGGGGAGCAAACAGGAUUAGAAACCCGGGUAGUCCCAUG